GAAGAGUGGUCAUGGCAUAAUUUGAAGUACAUUCCUUGCAUUUGCCUCAAGGAACAAAAGACAUGUACAGAAAUCUUCAGUUGGGAUAGCUGAUAUCAUGGCUGAGAUUUCAAGUGACCACCUCCAGAACACAAGUCAGAAGUGUUAUUGUGUGAGCCAAAUUGUUUGGUGGGUUAUAUUAACCAACACACAAACCAAACUAAUGGCUAAACACAUAUCUACGUAAGAAAUACAGUUUUGGAUUCAAAAUUAUUCCAGCAUUUCUGAACUGAAUCUACAAAAAUGCUCUCUUGGAUAUAAUAUUUUUAAAAAGUAUUUUGGCUGUUACAUUAAAACAAGCAGCCAUCCCAUACUAUCUAUUAAUCAAGAGAUACACACAGAACAACAAUAAUUUAUUGUUGAUUAUGGUCUUGGGUCAUUGCAGUGUGUGGAUGUCGACAGUUUUGCCAAUUUACAUGCUGCCUCCAUCUUCAGGAUCACAGUGAGUGGGAUAUGCUUGCUGAGCACUUGAAUGGUUGACUGCUUGCAAAAACCAGUUGCUGCUGGCACUUAGGUCCAGUCGGAAGCCUGUAAAAGGGCUGUUUUCGGAAGAAGUGAAGACACUAGAAAAGAUUCUUCUUCAAACUAUUAAGUUUGACUUACAAGUAGAACACCCUUAUAGUUACCUUGAAGAAUAUGCAAAGUGUCUGAAAGGUGA